GGGAAAGAAAAAGAGAUCGACAUGCAGUGGGUGUAAACAGAUGUCCAGCUUGAGUGAGGAACAACUCGUGGAAAGAAUGUGUCCCUAUCUGAAGAAAGCUGAGCAGAGAGCGACCAGAACCAUGACUUUCCUAUCUAAAUUGAUAUCGGAAAUGGAAGAAGGAUAUCCCGCAAUUCAAAAAAUUUUGCAUUAUGAAAACACAUCAGAUGAAGCAAAAGUAACGUUGGCCGUAAAGGAAGGGACAACAAAUUAUGUGGUACGGAAUUUCAGCAGAAAAGGUAGUAGAGGAGCAGGGGUUAUCC